rnacentral:rRNA from 1 species
GAUGAACGCUGGCGGCGUGCCUAAUACAUGCAAGUCGAGCGAACAGACGAGGAGCUUGCUCCUCUGACGUUAACGGCGGACGGGUGAGUAACACGUGGAUAACCUACCUAUAAGACUGGGAUAACUUCGGGAAACCGGAGCUAAUACCGGAUAAUAUAUUGAACCGCAUGGUUCAAUAGUGAAAGACGGUUUUGCUGUCACUUAUAGAUGGAUCCGCGCCGCAUUAGCUAGUUGGUAAGGUAACGGCUUACCAAGGCAACGAUGCGUAGCCGACCUGAGAGGGUGAUCGGCCACGCUGGAACUGAGACACGGUCCAGACUCCUACGGGAGGCAGCAGUAGGGAAUCUUCCGCAAUGGGCGAAAGCCUGACGGAGCAACGCCGCGUGAGUGAUGAAGGUCUUCGGAUCGUAAAACUCUGUUAUUAGGGAAGAACAAAUGUGUAAGUAACUAUGCACGUCUUGACGGUACCUAAUCAGAAAGCCACGGCUAACUACGUG